ACACGCAUGACACACUGCAUAUCAAUAAGCGGAGGAAAAGAAACUAACUAGGAUUCCCUCAGUAACGGCGAGUGAAGCGGGAAGAGCUCAAAUUUGAAAUCUUCAAGGUUUUACCUUGACGAAUUGUAGUUUAAAGAAGUGUUUUCUGUUGGUGUUUUGGUAAAAGUUCUUUGGAAUAGGACAUCAUAGAGGGUGAGAAUCCCGUAUUCGACCAUUACUUCCAGCGUUGUGAUACACUUUCAAAGAGUCGGAUUGUUUGGGAAUGCAGUCCAAAAUGGGUGGUAAAUUUCAUCUAAAGCUAAAUAUUGGCGAGAGACCGAUAGCGAACAAGUACCGUGAGGGAAAGAUGAAAAGAACUUUGAAAAGAGAGUUAAACAGUACGUGAAAUUGUCAAAAGGGAAGCGUUUGACACCAGUGUUGUUUUCUCGAAAAUCAAUUAAAAAGAGUUGGAUUUUGUAUUGUUAAGACCUUAUCAGCUUACUGUACUUUUUUCUUGCUCUUUUUAAUGCACUUUUCGUUUAACAAGUCAACAUCAAUUUCUUUUGUUGUAAAAGGGUCAUUGGAAGGUGGCUUUCAUUUCGGUGAAAGUGUUUAUAGCCUUUGCCUCUACAAUCGGAGAGAUUGAGGUCUGCAGCGUAGAUCCUUCGGGGUUAGAUACGUUAGAUGCUAAGUUAUAGCUUUUUCAUAGACAACUUGUUGACUAUGAUUUAAUCAUUGUAGCUUACUCGCUUGACGCUAUUUUACCUACGCUUAGGAUGUUGAACGCAUGUCUCUCUCU
rnacentral:rRNA from 1 species